rnacentral:lncRNA from 1 species
CUGAGUCGAGUGGGGCGAGACAGAGUUGAGGGUCGAGUUUGGUUCUUUAUUAAGGUUCAGUUCAAAGUUCCGGUUGUGGCUCGUCAAUUUGGUCUCUUGGCUGCUUUUGAUUUGUGGUUCGACUCCUGAAUUGCUUCUCGUUCAAUCUGAGUUCGUAAAUUGCAGUAAAAAUCUCCACAUUAAGGUCCAUAUUUUAUCUUAUUCUUAUUCUCCGUUAAUUCUUUAUUUUGGUGUGUGAUUGAUUGUUAUCGUCUCAAAUUUCUCUUAUUUUGGGUGUGAUGUGAAUGAUUAAUGUGGAAUUAUUUGGUCGUAGAUUGUCGAAAAAUGGUAAUCGUGAACUGUUAUAUUGUAACUUCGAAUGAAAUUUGGGAGAAUUGAUAAUCGAAUAAGUUGAGCAUUGAUUAGAUUUGAUUCAUUGUUGGAUAUGGUUGAAAUUGAAAGUAUCAUGUUUUAGAUCGUUAAAUGGGUAGGCAAAUACUAAGUUUGGAUAGGCAAAUUGUAGAAAAUGGAAGAUGGUGAUUUGUUGAAUGUGUGAAUAUUUGUUGAAUGGUUCUUUCUAUCUUAAUGCACAGAACUGAGAAAAUGUAUUCAUUUUACCAGAGAAUGCCCCGAAGGACUUGUAUUGAUUUAUCCGGGGAAUGCCCCGAAGUAUCAUGUACGAAGAGGAGGCUCGUGAUCAAGGCCCGAGGCAUCGUGUAAGGCAUUGGAGCGUAGUUUUAGGAUUAUCUUAGAAUCUGAUUUAUAUUUUCGCAUUUUUUUAUUUUUGGACAAUAUAUUUGGACUGGACACAAUAUUUUGGAUUUAUUUUAUUUUGUUUUA